rnacentral:rRNA from 1 species
AUGAACUGCGCCGGCGCCUGCAGACGUGGACGAGAACCGGCAGCGAGUCGCAGUGGCUCGCUCAGGCAUCAGCGUGAGUGUGCACCGUCGGGGAGCUUCGGUUGCUCGCACAGGCGUGGGCAAGCUAGGGCGGAGAGGUGCGGUGCCUUGCGCUGGCAGCGGUUAGGCGUCGAAGACGAGCAACCCAUGACGACAAGAGCGAGAUGCCUAGAAAAUGGAAAAGAAAAAGGGAAAGUAAUGGAAAAAGGAGAAAUUGCAUGGUAA